rnacentral:snRNA from 1 species
AUACUUUUGCUGCCCUUUUGGCUAAGGUAAAUUGUAGUAUUUGUUUUUAUCGGUUUAAUAUCUAAUAUGUGGACCAUAUAUUCGCUUUGAUAUAAAAUUUAUUUUUAUAUGUAUUAAAUAUGAGUAUGUGUCGUUACAAUACAUGUACAUGUAUUGGACUAGUU